rnacentral:lncRNA from 1 species
AUGUUGUGUUUUCACUUCUGUGUGCUUGGCACUGGGGCAGAGCUGGCACACUGUGGGGCUCCCAGUGCUCCCAGUUUGGCCUGUGUUGGUGCCAGUGCAGUGUCCCUGGCACUGGGGCAGAGCUGGCACUCUGUGGGGCUCUCAGUGCUCCCUGUUUGGCCUGUGUUGGUGCCAGUUGUGUCCCUCCCUCAGGACUCCUUGUGCCCUCUGCUUCCAGGCUGCUCCAGCUUGCCAAGAACCACAGAGGAGCCUCCUGCGGCUGCGGGGCUGCGGGCCAGGGCUCGCCCUUCCUCCAGAUCCCACCCUCCUCCUCCUUCUCCUCCCUGCCUGCUGUGCACAGAACCAGCCCCUCCGAGCAGAGGGCUGAGCAAACAGCGAACGCCAGGGCAAUGUCCAAGCCCUGCCCCCUGCCCGGCUGAGCACGGCGACCUGGGGACACCGGCACGGCCCCUCAGACGUCACCUGUCCCUCUGUGUGUGGGUGAGGACAAGCAGGGACAUCUCCCGGGACAGCAGGGAGAGCUGCUGCAUCCUAGAGACGGGAGGGGACACUGGGGACAGCCCUGUCCUUAUCGGAGCAGCUGGUGACUCCACCGCCUGUCCCUGGCAGAGCAUCCCCUGCUAGGCCAUGGCAGCCCAGCCGGCCGGGGGCCAGAAGCCCCAGAAGCCCUUCCACAUCGUCACACCCGUCCUGGAGAGCCUGUCCCUCUCCAAGGCCGCGGGCACCAAGGUCUUCAUGAAGAUGGAGAACGUCCAGCCCUCGGGAUCCUUCAAGAUCCGGGGCAUCGGGCACCUGUGCCAGG